UUUUGUUGUCCGUAUAUAUAGUUUUAACCCGACAUAAAAAUCACUUAUCCAUCUAUCUCCAGGGUUUCCCCUCUCUCUCUCGCUCUGCUCUUUACGGAUCUUCAUAGAUCUUCAAAUCAUCGCUCGGAUUCAAGUAUUACGGUUCAGAUCUGAACAGUAGAUCGCCGGAAUAGCAUUGCCGGUAUCGCCGCUGCUGACGUCACACCAUCACCGAUCGAACUUCCACAGGAGUAUCAUCAUCACAUAUAUUGAUUUUGAUUGGCCGUUGAAUUGGACAACACAAGGCCGCCUUAGCAAAACCCUAGACGGCUUAAGUAGUAGCAGAAAUGGCGACUUCACGUAAGGGAGUUCGGUAAUGGAACCCAGAGCGUUCAAUUCAGCAAGGAGCCGAAUAACCUUUACAAUCUCAACUCAUACAAUCACUCUGAUCCAUACGAAGGCACAAAAGAAGAUCAAGGUAUCACCUCUGCCGAGCAGAUGGCGGUAUCCAACUGAUCAUCCAAGCAAGGUUUCAAGUUUUCCUUCUACUACGAAUAUAACCAUGUGACCAAGUGGUAGCAAGACGGUUGGUGAAAUGGAGCCUGGUUCAUAUUUUGCAAACCAGAAGGACAGACUACCAAUAUUGCCCAGCUUUAAAGCAAGAGGA